CCAUAGACAUAUAGAGAGAUAGAGAGAGAGAGAAUUAAAAGCCAUUUUUGACCCAAAUUCGAGUCCCGAUUUCCGAAGCUCGUGAAGAGAAAAACGUUGCACGUUGUGUUGUCUUCAUUUUGAGCUAAAAAUCAGAGAAGAAGGAGUGUAUUAAGGUGGUUGACUUAUACUUCAAGGUGUAUAUUCUCUUAUACAAGCUAAGAGGAAUUGUUUGACGAAGUGGAUUUUGGUUGAUCUAUGACAUAGAGAAAUUGAACUCCGCGAGUGGUGGUAGAACUUGUUGUAUGCUAAAACGCCAAGGUGAUAUGCGAGGCGGGAUAUGAAGAUGGCCAUGUGGAGUAGACUUUUUGGGAGCUCUUUUGAAGAUCACAUAUGCAUAUACAUCUAGUUUUUGUAUAUUAUUUUGGGGACUUGUACAUGAUACAUGUGUGGCACUUAUUUACGAAAAUUUGAAGGCUUGUAACUUAAACCAAGUGACUAAUUUUGUUAUUUUAGAGUGUGUUUUUAACUCAAGUAAUGCAAUGUACUAGGUUAUAUUUUGACUUGUUAUUAUGCACGAAGGAAGAUAAUAUUU